rnacentral:rRNA from 1 species
CUCCACCCGAGACUCAGUGAAAUUGAACUCGCUGUGAAGAUGCAGUGUACCCGCGGCAAGACGGAAAGACCCCGUGAACCUUUACUAUAGCUUGACACUGAACAUUGAGCCUUGAUGUGUAGGAUAGGUGGGAGGCUUGGAAGUGUGGACGCCAGUCUGCAUGGAGCCGACCUUGAAAUACCACCCUUUAAUGUUUGAUGUUCUAACGUUGACCCGUAAUCCGGGUUGCGGACAGUGUCUGGUGGGUAGUUUGACUGGGGCGGUCUCCUCCUAAAGAGUAACGGAGGAGCACGAAGGUUGGCUAAUCCUGGUCGGACAUCAGGAGGUUAGUGCAAUGGCAUAAGCCAGCUUGACUGCGAGCGUGACGGCGCGAGCAGGUGCGAAAGCAGGUCAUAGUGAUCCGGUGGUUCUGAAUGGAAGGGCCAUCGCUCAACGGAUAAAAGGUACUCCGGGGAUAACAGGCUGAUACCGCCCAAGAGUUCAUAUCGACGGCGGUGUUUGGCACCUCGAUGUCGGCUCAUCACAUCCUGGGGCUGAAGUAGGUCCCAAGGGUAUGGCUGUUCGCCAUUUAAAGUGGUACGCGAGCUGGGUUUAGAACGUCGUGAGACAGUUCGGUCCCUAUCUGCCGUGGGCGCUGGAGAACUGAGGGGGGCUGCUCCUAGUACGAGAGGACCGGAGUGGACGCAUCACUGGUGUUCGGGUUGUCAUGCCAAUGGCACUGCCCGGUAGCUAAAUGCGGAAGAGAUAAGUGCUGAAAGCAUCUAAGCACGAAACUUGCC